GAAAUGAUUUAGGAAUGUAUGCUGUAUGUUUUGUGGUUGGGAGAUGGAAAUAUCUCUAAAAUUUUCCGCCACCAUGGAUGAUGACCACGGACACUGGACCAGGCUUUUCAAGAAUGGAUGUCAUUUUGGACAGAUGGAAAUACACUCUCAAAAGCUAAGUGUCACAAUUUUUUUAAUGCUACGUAAUUUAUUAUUACUGCAGUUGCAGCAAAAUGUUUAGCCAACACUGGAUAAAAAGGAUUAUGGGUGAUGCAGGUUCUGGUUUCGUGUUUAGAGAAGAAUCCAGGCCCUGGUGAGAAUGGUGAGAACUGUGUUGACAGCCAAAUUGACUGAAGAACAGGUUGUAUUACGUUAAGCAGCAGCUGAUGAGGACCAUAAUUAGGAUGGCACCAACUGAGUUUAUGUUUAGAAUUGCCUACAUCAUAAAUAUAUAAUGUGAAAUUACAGAAAAAAGCGUAAAAUAAACAUUAACCUAAAUAGAAAAUAAGAUCUACAGAUAAAUGUUAACCUCACACAAGUUAAAUAUGGCCUAGAAAUACACACUUUUUUAAAUCUUACAAAGCAACUGUUUGAAAGAUAUUUUUUGUUACAUCAGAACAUCAGAAAUAUGGAAGUGAUUCAUUACUGAGACUAUUGUCGGAAAGCCUAAAGUUACAUGAGAUUAUUGUGGAUGGUACCACUUAGAAACCAUGAAGAUGGCUUUGGAAUUCAAUUGAUAUUAACAGUUUUGCUAUGAUGGUUUAGGACUACAAUUGCUAUGAUAGCUUUAGGACUUCAAUUCCCAUGAACAGUUUUGCACUCAAGUCUCCAUCAGUGAACAGUUGAUAACUUCAACAAAAUAGACUUCAUGUCAAAACUAUAAUGAAAUUUUGUGGUUACACAACUGCACUUUUUGAACAUAUAGUACACAGUUAUAGAAGGGAAUUAUUUAUAACUGCACUAUUCAUUGUCACCCAGAUGAGGGUGGGUUCCCUUUUGAGUCUGGUUUCUCUUACGGUUUGUUCCUUAUAUUGUCUCAGGGAGUUUUUCCUUGCCACUGUCACCUCCGGCUUGCUCAUUAGAGAUAAAUUCAUAAAUUUAUAAUGUAUAUCCUGAGUUUAUAUAUUUCUGUAAAGCUGCUUUGUGACAAUGUCUAUUGUUAAAUGUGCUACACAGAUAAAAUUGAAUCGAAUUGUAUGCCCACAGGUGAGGACCACGCCUGGACUAGGACCACCCCUGGACGCAGGCCACCCCUGGACAAGGACAACCCCUGGACAAGGACUUCCCCUGAAUGCCAUUGAGGACCAGAGCAAGGACGACAUCCAAAGAAGCGGAGGAAGGUGCACAUCAACACACAGGUUUGGAGUUCAUAUUACACAUGAUUGGUGAUGAAGCGCACUGUCGCUUUAAGAGACCCUUGACUUUGGGCGCGUUCUCCCCUCUCUGAGUUCGCGCCAAACUGAGCUGGGAGGAGCAUGUUUCGCGGCUCACAGAGCCAAAGACUUCCAGUUAUGGAGUGGUACUGAGAAGACGCGAGUUAACGACCCUCCUGUAAAUUUAAAUAUAAAUCCUUCAAGCUCACUUAAAACUUUGAUACAUCCUUUGUUAUUUAAUGCACAAAAGUCUAACAACCGAAAUGGCACAGAAAAAGAAGAACAGAACUCAAGAAAAAGUGAAUAACGAGGCUCGAGAUGUCGCAGGAUUCUGACUACGCAGACGAACUAAAAGAGAUAGAGGAAGAUGACGACAGCGAAUCUACUAAAGUAACUGAGUUGAACCCCAGCAAUGCAGAUGUGUUACAAGCCAUUAAAGAAAUGGACAAACGAGUUAUGUGUAAAAUUGACGGUGUUAUGUCAGUGAUCAAAAAGGUAAAGAAACGUGUGAAGGAGGCCAAGCAUUUCUGGAGCAGAAGAUGAAAUCGUUCAACUCGGUGCUUGUGCACAUUCCCUUGAAUCACAAGUUAAAAAACUGACAGAAAAGGUUGACAACAUGGAAAACAGAAACAGACGGAACAACCUGAGGCUGGUGGGUUUACUGGAAAAAGAAAAAGGAAAUGAUACGUCUGCGAUUUUAGAUGCCUGGAUUCCCAAAAUAUUGGAAAUGGACUCGAGCACAUCGUUAGUUAAAGAGCGCGCACAUAGAGUGGGCUCACAACGAAAUAAGGAUGUUCGGAACAAAAGACGGGAUGCCAAUACACCACCAAGAACACUAAUAAUGAAGUUCCUAAAUGAAAAGAACAGGUGUUUAUUGUAAAAUAAUAACUAAGUAUAUUCAGUUAUUAUUGUUCUCUGUAAAUGUGAAAAUGUGUGUUUAUAGUUUAAUAUAAUAUGUGAGAGUAAUGUUACAAAUAGGGUUGUGAUAAUAAAUAUAGACAGAAGUACCUGACAGUUCCUCACGGGUGUGUGGACCAAUCAGCGCCAUAUACGGAGUGUAAGGGCUGUGGGGUCAAACGCAGUAGUAUGGACACUACUGGGAAAAUCGGGGUUGUUGUUGAAUGUUCUUUAAUAAUAGGUGUGUUGUUCGUGAUUGACUAUAGUUUUAUUUUUUGCUUCUCAGUAUUUAAGAUUGUUGAGUUUGUAAAAGGCAAAAUACAUCUUAAUAGGAAAUAAUAGGUAAAAGAUCAUGGGGAGACAGGUCAUGUGAAAUUUGUAACCUGGAAUUGCAGAGGAUUGGGCAAUAUUAAAAAAAAUAAAGCAGGUAAUGGAUAGGAUCGAACAAUUACAAGCACAAGUAAUUUUUCUUCAGGAAACCCACAUGGUAAAAAGUGAGACAAUUAAGAUUCGUCGGAAAUGGCAAGGGCAAGUUUUUGCUGCUUGUCACACUUCUAAUGCGAGAGGAGUAAUGACUUUAAUUCAUAAAUCAAUCCCAAUACAGGUUCAGAAAGUAUACACUAUACACUUUAUCUUCAGAAAAGAUAAAUUUAAUUAACAUUUAUGGUCCAAAUGAUGACAAUCCUACAUUUUUUAAUGAUUUGUUUUUGUUAAUUGCUAAUUUGCCUGGAUACUAUCUUAUCGCAGGGGAUAUGAAUUGUGUGUUAGAUCCUACUAAAGAGAGUUCAGCAGGGACUGAUAAAAAACAUACUAAAGCCAGGAAGGUGAUACAGGAAUUUAUGAAAGAUCUUAAUUUACUUUUUUUAAUUUACUUAAUUAACUUAAUCCUGCAGCGACAUCAUAUUCCUGAUAUUCUGGUGUGCAUCAAACAUACUCACGUAUUGAUUAUUACCUAAUUUCCGCACAAUUGCUUAACAAUACAACGGAUUGUAGUUAUCACAGUAUAGUAACCUCUGACCAUGCAGCGGUUUCUUUAUCAUACAAAACUACAAAAUUCAUAAAAAAUCCCCCUAAAUGGCGUUUUCAGAUAGGAUGGCUUCGUGACCCAGAGUUUGUAGAAUAUGUGGGCAAACAAAUUGAUUUGUGUUUUGAAAUUAAUAAGUCUGAAACAUCUGCUUGUAUUAGAUGGGAAGCAUUUUAUGCUUUUAUUCGAGGACAUAUAAUUGGGGUUUGCAGUUCAAAAGCUAGGAAGUCUAGACAAGAACUGAAACGAUUAGAAGAUCAAAUCAAAAAAUUAGAAAAUAAUAUUUUUCAGAAAACUACAGAUACAGUAGAAGCAAAAGAGAAAUUAUUAUUACUCAGGUCUCGAUAUAAUGAAUUGUCAGCAAGUAGAGCAGCUUCAAAAGUUUUAAGGUUGAAACAAAAAUUUUUAUGAAUAUGGAGAUAAAACAGGAUGGUUACUUGCUUGGCAAAUUCGACAACAACAAACAGAGCGUACUAUCACAAUAAUUGAAAGUUCAACUGGAAUAUAGUUGACACAGUAGAGAUCAAUGAAGCAUUUAGAACUUAUUAUGAAAAACUAUAUAGCUCAGAGUGCUCACUAAAUGUAGAUAUCCAGGUGCAAUUUUUAGAUAGUCUAAAUAUACCUCAGAUUUCAAUUGAAAAGAACAAAUUAUAUAAAGACCUAACAUUAUAAGAAAUUGGAGAAGCCAUUGACUCUAUGAAAUCAGGAAAAGCUGCGGGCCCAGAUGGGCUUCCUAUAGAAAUCUGUAAAACAUUUAAAAAAAAAAAAAAAGUUGCUAACUCCUUUUAUGGAAAUGAUAGUAGAGGCAUAUCAUCCAGAUCUUUUGCCUGCAUCAAUGAUAGGAGCUUUAAUUACAUUAUUACCAAAACCAGGAAAAACAAACAAAGUGUGAAAAUAUGAGGCCAAUUAGCUUGUUAAAUUCAGACACAAAAAUAUUAAGUAAAGUUAUGGCUAAGAGGUUAGAAGGUACACUAUCAAAUUUAAUAGGAGAGGAUCAAAAUGGUUUUAUACAACGUAGGCAAGGAUUUCACAAUGUUCAAAGAGUCCUAAAUAUUCAUUAUGAACAGAGGGGUGAACGAGAUACUACUCUAUCAUUGGACGCCGAAAAGGCCUUCAAUCGGGUUGAAUGGUCUUAUUUGUGUGAUUUAUUGGUCAGAUUUGGUUUUGGUGAAAGGUACUGUAGGUGGGUUAGAUUACUUUAUAAUAGUUCUACAGCAGAAGUGUUGACAAAUAAUAUUGUUUCAAAACCAUUUAGCGUAUCAAGAGGGUGUAGACAAGCAACCUAGUAAUUGUGUUGCAACCUUCAAGAUAGUUGACUGUUUUACAUACUUGGGUAUAAAAAUUGUACCAAAACUAGGAGAUGUUGUGCAAGUAAAUUAUGAUCCACUUCUUGAAAGUGUUACUAACUCAGUAGAAAGAUGGAUGUCCUUACCCAUAUCUUUAAUUGGUCGAAUAAAUAUUUUGAAAAUGAAUAUUUUGCCAAAAUUUUUAUAUUUAUUCCAGAACAUUCCUCUGCCUCCCCCUAAACAUCUAUUUCAACGACUUAAAAAAAUGUUCACUAAAUUCAUUUGGAAUAACAGAUGUUCCAGAUUCCGUCUGACACUUCUAUAUUUGCCAUAUGAAAGAGGAGGUCUACAGAGUCCUAAUUUUCAUUGGUAUUAUUGGGCUGUGCAACUUAGAACAAUUAUGUUUUAUUUUUUAUCUCAGGACUGCCCGUCUUGGGUGGAUAUGGAAUCGGCUGCCAUUAAUUCUGGACUGCCUUUAAAUUUGUGUUUAUAUUCAUCAGAAUUGAAAGAUCUCAAAAAAAAUGUUUCCAAUCCUAUAGUUAUAAAUAUGAUUGCCGUAUGGUUUGAUGUGAAAAAAUAUUUAGGUUCCUUCUAUCCUUUAUCUUAUUUUAGUCCCAUUUGGGGCAAUGAAAAAUUUAAACCAGGCAGAUUAGACGCAGGUUUCAAGAUUUGGGCUGGCAAGGGCAUUCGAAAGAUAGCAGAUCUAUACUCUUAUGUCAUUUGAGGAAAUAGUUAAUACAUAUACUAUUCCUACAAAACAUUUCUUUAAAUAUUUACAAAUAAGAAAUUUUAUCCUCAAAUCACAAAAUAAUUCCCUCGAUAUGCCAUCAUUGUCUAUUCUGAAAAAAGAAGUGACAAGAAAUUGUUUUAGUAAAGGUUUAAUUUCUUCAUUAUAUAAUAUGCUGCUGUCAGGAUCAAAGGACUCUUCAAACUAUAAAUUGGAAGCUUGGAGAUCGGAUCUUAAGGACGAUAUUCAGAUGGAGGACUGCAUCUAAGCAUGCAAGGACGCUCAAUCACUAACAAUGAACACACUUCUGAAACUGCUACAAUAUAAGUGGUUGAUGGGGAUUUACGUAACUCCAGUAGUAUUGCAUAAAUAUAAUGAAAAUAUCCCAGACACUUGCUUAAGAUGCAGCGACUUUAAAGGAACACUAUAUCACUGUAUAUGGGAAUGCGAAGAAGUUAGGAAUUUUUGGAAAGAUGUGAAAGGAAUGAUAGAAAAGAUCCUUGAUGUCAACAUACCACUGUCACCUUUAAUCUUUUUAUUUAAUUUAUAUCCUAAGGAGAUCAAGUUAAAAAAGAAGGAAUAUAUAUUUAUAAAUAUAUGUAUUCUUCAAGCGAAACAGCUUAUUUCUUUAAAUUGGAAAAGUAUAUAUGCACCAGAUAUAGGACGUUUGGCUGAAAGAAAUGGUAAUAAAUAUGUGGAGUGGAGUUGGAAAUGUGUUGAUAAAAGACUAAAAACAGAGGUGAUAUUGUAUAUUAAUGUAAAAUACUGAGAAGUUUUUUGUGUGUGUGUUUUCUCUGUUACAUGGAAAUGUAUAUGUACAUGUGUAGUUAAAAUGCAAUAAAAAGAAAUUUAAAAAAAAAAAUUUUCCUAUUAGUAUUUACUGUUUCUGUAUUCAUAUGCAGCACUGUUCUGUUUAUUUUAUUCUAGAUUACAGAUUAGCAUUUAGAGUGUUUUUGGUCAUAUACAGCACUACUU